AGAGGUGACUGAAGGAGGACUUGAUCUUGCAAUUCUUGGUCUGAUAACCAACAUGGAGGAAGCCCUUAUCCUAGAAGUGUAGGAAAAUCCAUUCCUGUAUGACAAGAGAUUGGAGAUGUUCAAGGAUACAGAAGUCAAAAAAUGAUGUAUGACAUGACAUUGGGCGUCAGCUUGUAAUCUCAGGUGACGUAGCGAGUUGAGGGACAACUUCCUAAAAAACGACAGAAAUGGAGAGGAAGAGUGGUGACGGAGCUCCCUCAAAUGCAGCACGUAAAUACAAGUACAGUGAGGCAAUGGAAUUCCUACUUCCCCACAUACAUAAUCGAGACAGAACAAGUUCAAUCUUGGAUCCUGUGUUUGAUGUAGACACACCAGGAGAAGCCUGUACCAAGCAGGAAGAAACUGAGCAGGAGAAUGGUGGGUGACAUCUGUCCACAACGUGGGUCAGUCUUCCUCGUCAUCAUCCUCAGGCACGUCCGCAACAUCAGUCCAGUCUUCAAGUCCCAACUUCACUUCAAAUCGAGGAGACAAUGUUGCAGUAUUUUCAAAGCACUGAUAGUCAUGGUGACAACAUAACUGUAGAUAAAUUUUUCUCCAGCUUGUCCCCCAUUGUCCCACACUGUAAAAGUUACCUCAAUGCCAGCUCCAUUGCUAUGAGGUUAAAUUUCGGUCGUCUGAACAUUGAACAUACUACUAUAGGAAUUAAAGGACAUGUCAUCUAACUCCAAGUCGAUUCUUAUUGAUGUUAUAAACAUCUCACAAUUUAAGAAUCCAAAUAUGUUUCGUAGAUUAAAAAAAAAGUUAACGGAAAAUGCUCUAACUUGCUAUGCUCCACCGCUAAAAAGAGAGCUGAUAUCUUAUUCCCUCUGACCAUGGAGCUAAUAGCUCUAUGCUCUGACAUCACUCAAUACUCAUCCGAUUGUUAGCUAACAAAGGGACAGUGGUUUGUAGUUUGCCAGAGCUAACAACCUGUUAACAGUCUCAACAUAAAAGAUGCAAUGUCAGACAUGCAGCAUCACCAACAAAUUAAAAGUGGUGUAUAUAUGA